rnacentral:lncRNA from 1 species
AAAGGAAAUAAAUCUCCUCAGAACCAGAAGAUAGCUGCAAGGAAGAAGCCAUUCAAUGUACAGCCCGAUCCAAACUACAACUCAAACCGACCUUUACUUCAGUCCCUGACCCACACUUCACCAACCAGUUUUAAGCUCCGCAAUAGCAUAACCAACCCAAAUUGCCUCCCAACUCCAGCAUCUCCGUUCAUAGGACCACUCUGGGA